AUGGUGACUGCGCUAACCAUGUUUCUGUUGGUCAGGAGUUUGGGCUCAGCUAAGAUCUACUUUGGGAUCUCCUACAAGGCUAUCGGCAAAGUGUCACCGAGCGCUGGGGUCCCUGAAGUUGGAUUGGCGAAAGAUCUACUUCCAAGCUCCUGUGGCAGUUGGCGGGAUUUCAUUCCUUGCCCAUCGUUGGAUGAGGGCUUCAGUCCCUUGCCUGCUCUUUUUCUGCUGCCAACCCCCGGUUUCUUGUCACAGGAGUCUCUCUGUAAGGCGACUCACAACACAGCAGGUGGCUUUGCCAAAGCUGCAAAGGGAGCCGGUCUGGUAGCAAGGCGGACUUACAGCCCUGUGUGGCGUCAUCAGGGGGCGUGGCAGCCUUUGCUGCAUUCUAUUGGUUAGAAGUCAGUCACAGGUUCUGUCCACGCUCAAGGGGAGGGAUUCCACAGAGGUCAGCCACGGAGAAAGGCAUGUUUGUCCUGAACUGGCUUGUCCUACAGAUAGAAAUCAUCCUCUGACCGGAACAUACAGGCCAUUGAUGAGGGCACACAAGUCCAGAGGGGCAGACUGUUCCCCACUACCGGGGCUGGGCCUGGACCCUUAAUGUCCCUUCCUGUCUCCCAUGUCAGCCUGCACUGCUCUUUUCUUGUUCUACUCUCUCUCAUUCUCUCUCUCUUUCCUAACCCAGCCACCAAUCCCUCAAGCAGACCAAGAGCUCUCUAAGGCCUGAUGAAGUAUCUCCCUUUCUUCUGCUCACUCAUCCCUUCUCUUCUCACCUCUGCCAUUGAUUGGGGACUAAAGGAUGGGAGCCAGGUGCACAGUGGCACAGGCAGGGGGAGGGCAGCAAGUUCUAACAGAGUCCAAGUGAAAUCCAAUGGGUAUCUAUUAAAAAAACAUUCACAGAUUCUUCUGUGUGAAUCUAUACUUGUUGAGCCACUGGCUUGGGAGCUGCAGAAAAUGUUUGUCUCUGUAUAUUCUCCAGGGACUCCCCUUUGACUGAGAGGGGCUAGUCCCACAUGACCAGUAGCUACGCAGGCUGUUAGCAUUCUAGUUCAAGGGUUUGUGAAUAAUAAAUGAGUAGUUACUCAGGGAAAUUACA
rnacentral:lncRNA from 1 species